GACGACGCUGGCGGCGUGCUUAACACAUGCAAGUCGAACGGACGAGUGAGAUAAGUUUACUUAACUCACAAGUUAGUGGCGGACGGGUGAGUAACACGUGGAUAAUCUACCUGCAACACCGGGAUAACGCUGUGAAAACGGUGCUAAUACCGGAUACGUUCCCUUGUGCGCAUGUAUGAGGGAAGAAAGCUCAGGCGGUUGCAGAUGAGUCCGCGGCUGAUUAGCUAGUUGGUGAGGUAAAGGCUCACCAAGGCGAUGAUCAGUAGCCGGCCUGAGAGGGUGAACGGCCACACUGGGACUGAGACACGGCCCAGACUCCUACGGGAGGCAGCAGUGGGGAAUCUUCCGCAAUGGGCGCAAGCCUGACGGAGCAACGCCGCGUGGGUGAAGAAGGCCUUCGGGUUGUAAAGCCCUGUCUUAUAGGAAGAAGUCAGUGACGGUACCAUAGGAGGAAGCCACGGCUAACUACGUG
rnacentral:rRNA from 1 species